ensembl:lncRNA
GUGAAGGCUGUUGGACGGAGGAAGAGGACUGGCGUCUGGGAGACCCGCCAAUAGAAAAAGCCCCUGGGGCGGCCCGCUAACGAGCUCAUCCAUCCAGGCAGGUUAAAUGACCGGCAACUGGGUCGCCCGGCGACACAGCUGAAGGUUAGAGAGCCAAACAUGUGUGACCGUAACCGUGAGGGUUUCUUCUACACGUGAUUCACAGUGGGGAGGGCGGGAGAAUAGACUAGAAGGGAGAGAAUGCCUCUUUUUCUUUCUUUUCUAGUAGCGGGUGUGGAGAGCCUGAGCAGUGGCAAGUCAGAAAUGUAUUUCUCAGAAAUCUAAAAAUAAAGUGUCACAGAUUUAAUUCUUAAUAUUUCAAAACAAUUUUUGACUUGCACCAUCUAACUAAUUUCAUUGAUUAUAAGCUGGCAAAGCUCUUGUUAGUGAAUGAACAUAUGGUCUUGGGGGUGUUCCCCCAUCCCCCCAAUAUAGGCAGAAAACAGAACGCUGGGAUUUGCUGUCUGACAUGUAUAUGCGAUCUUCGGCAUCCUUUUUUCUGUUUAUGCAUUAAGAGAGGCCACAUGGAAAUGUGGAUAUGAGGCAGGGCAAUCCAAGAUGUCAAUAAAUACCAAACACAAAAAACUAAACUACUUGUUUGGGGUGAAUGAUGUUCUUUGCCUUUUGGUUUCAACUCAGGAAGAUGGGAAGGAAGGCGGGGAGAGAGAGGGGCAGGAAGGAACCCUCUUCAGGGGGCACGCUGUAAUGCGUUCCCACUUUCCACACCCACUCACCGGUGACUUUCUUCUUUAGAACUCUUUUAUCUUUGUUCUCUUUAUACCCUCUUUCAACAUCUUUCAGCUUACAGAUGGGUGAUGAGGCAUGAAGAAGGUGAAGUCUUCAGUCUGGGUCCCCAUAUGAACCUGGUUUCAAGGGGAGUUUCUUUAGCCCUUGGGUAGAGAAUCCACCUGCCAAUGCAGGAGACACAGGAAACAUGAGUUCCAUCCCUGGGUCGGGAAAAUCUCCUGGAGAAGGAAAUGGCAGCUCACUUCACUAUUCUUGUCUGCAGAANNNNNNNNNNNNNNNNNNNNNNNNNNNNNNNNNNNNNNNNNNNNNNNNNNNNNNNNNNNNNNNNNNNNNNNNNNNNNNNNNNNNNNNNNNNNNNNNNNNUUCCAUGGACAGAGGAGCCUGGUGGGCUACAGUCCGUGGGGUCACAGAGUGGAAAGCGACUGAGCAUGCGUACUACACCUCUGGCGCAGGUUUAAUCCCCCGCCCACCCCGCAGGCUACUUCCUCUCCCACUCCUGGGCUUUUGCAGGCACAGAGCCCAUCUUGGGGUGGGCAAGCAGAAGAAACACCGUUUGUUUCUGGCCUCGUGGACAUUAAGGGCCUCACAUACGGCCUUUGGGCAUCAUCUCCAGAUGAGUACCCACAUGGGGUCAUUGAAUUUGUGCAUGCAUGUCAAGAGCAUUGGUUUAUUAAAGGAUCUUUAAAACACACCACCAUUCGAAUUCUUGUAACUGUUUUGGCAUGUCUUCAUUUCAAUACUAGGCUCAGAGCGCUCACUGAAGUAAUUUAGGCCUCUUUCACCCUCUGUGAAAGUGUACCGAGGUGCACUAUCAUCCAAAGCCCAGAAGCAGAGAGUAAUCGUUCCGGCACACAGCACUAUCCCUGAUGAACUAGGGUGGGGGUAGAAAGUCGCCGUCUUACAUGGUCGUCUCCACUUAGAAGCCAAAGGAAAGAGGACUCUCCGUCGUAGGCGCACCCUUGAUCUCCAGGAAGAUUUUCUGCCCUCUAUUUUCACAGCCUUCUCCGGAGCCGCCAGUGGAGUCUGUGGGUUCGGUGCCGAGGUGGCUGGCCCCCGCCAGGCUCCAUCCUCCCCGCGCCCAGCGACCCCUCACGCAGGCCGGCGCAGGGUUUCCUUUCUCUGUUCCCUCCUCCUCGAAGGACAGCCGCACCACCAACCAUAGACGGCCCUUGUUAAAAGGAAACGUGAUGAACCACGGCUGUUUCCCCUUUGAGAUAAUGCCCACGCCCGGAGAGGUGCCCAGCCUGGGGUGGGUUAUUACAGAGGGGGUUAGAUGGAGCCGGCGCUCGCGGCCGCGUCCAAGCAGCCCAGAGGAAAUGCGGGCUAGCUAAAAGAAGAAAACGAGGUUGGGGACCUUGAUAGCAGCUUUUCAUCUUCGGAUGCCGGAGAGUAGCCGAGGAGAUAGGGCAAGGGGUUCCCAGUGGGAGCAGACCACGGGCUACUGGAGAGGACCACUGGUUACUGGAGGACACUGCGGCCUGCGGAGGGAAGCGCAGGGUCUCCUCCCUACCUGGUCGCUGCCGCCACCCCAGUCUCGCUCCUGCGGUCACCGUCGCGGAGACUAGCCCUAGGGCCUGGGGACUGCCCGCUGCCAGCGCCGCGCUAGGGCGGGAGGACCGAAGGUAAGGAACGUGGGAUCUCUCAGGCAUCCCGGGGCCCGCGGGCCUGGGAGGAGAUGGGCGGUGGGAAGAGAAUUAUGCCAGGAGUCGGGGUGCUAGUGUAGACCUUCUAGACCUAUUCACCGAGGGCAUCGGCGCACAGGAGUGUAAGUCAGUGUUGCCACGGUUAUUUACUUAAAGAUGAUUAU